AUCAGGCCGCGCGCGCGGCCAGGCCGGCGCCCCACAGGGGGAUGAACCCGGUCCGGCGUCCGUCGAUAACCUGACGCCACG
rnacentral:ncRNA from 1 species